GGGACACGUGGUAUCCUGUCUGAAUAUGGGGGGACCAUCCUCCAAGGCUAAAUACUCCUGACUGACCGAUAGUGAACCAGUACCGUGAGGGAAAGGCGAAAAGAACCCCGGCGAGGGGAGUGAAAAAGAACCUGAAACCGUGUACGUACAAGCAGUGGGAGCACCUUCGGGUGUGACUGCGUACCUUUUGUAUAAUGGGUCAGCGACUUAUAUUCUGUAGCAAGGUUAACCGUAUAGGGGAGCCGCAGGGAAACCGAGUCUUAACUGGGCGUUAAGUUGCAGGGUAUAGACCCGAAACCCGGUGAUCUAGCCAUGGGCAGGUUGAAGGUUGGGUAACACUAACUGGAGGACCGAACCGACUAAUGUUGAAAAAUUAGCGGAUGACUUGUGGCUGGGGGUGAAAGGCCAAUCAAACCGGGAGAUAGCUGGUUCUCCCCGAAAGCUAUUUAGGUAGCGCCUCGUGAACUCAUCUUCGGGGGUAGAGCACUGUUUCGGCUAGGGGGUCAUCCCGACUUACCAACCCGAUGCAAACUACGAAUACCGAAGAAUGUUAUCACGGGAGACACACGGCGGGUGCUAACGUCCGUCGUGAAGAGGGAAACAACCCAGACCGCCAGCUAAGGUCCCAAAGUCAUGGUUAAGUGGGAAACGAUGUGGGAAGGCACAGACAGCCAGGAUGUUGGCUUAGAAGCAGCCAUCAUUUAAAGAAAGCGUAAUAGCUCACUGGUCGAGUCGGCCUGCGCGGAAGAUGUAACGGGGCUAAACCAUGCACCGAAGCUGCGGCAGCGACACUAUGUGUUGUUGGGUAGGGGAGCGUUCUGUAAGCCUGCGAAGGUGUGCUGUGAGGCAUGCUGGAGGUAUCAGAAGUGCGAAUGCUGACAUAAGUAACGAUAAAGCGGGUGAAAAGCCCGCUCGCCGGAAGACCAAGGGUUCCUGUCCAACGUUAAUCGGGGCAGGGUGAGUCGACCCCUAAGGCGAGGCCGAAAGGCGUAGUCGAUGGGAAACAGGUUAAUAUUCCUGUACUUGGUGUUACUGCGAAGGGGGGACGGAGAAGGCUAUGUUAGCCGGGCGACGGUUGUCCCGGUUUAAGCAUGUAGGCUGGUUAUCCAGGCAAAUCCGGAUAACCAAGGCUGAGGUGUGAUGACGAGGCACUACGGUGCUGAAGUAACAAAUGCCCUGCUUCCAGGAAAAGCCUCUAAGCAUCAGGUAACAUCAAAUCGUACCCCAAACCGACACAGGUGGUCAGGUAGAGAAUACCAAGGCGCUUGAGAGAACUCGGGUGAAGGAACUAGGCAAAAUGGUGCCGUAACUUCGGGAGAAGGCACGCUGGUGUGUAGGUGAAGUCCCUGCGGAUGGAGCUGAGACCAGUCGAAGAUACCAGCUGGCUGCAACUGUUUAUUAAAAACACAGCACUGUGCAAACACGAAAGUGGACGUAUACGGUGUGACGCCUGCCCGGUGCCGGAAGGUUAAUUGAUGGGGUUAUCCGUAAGGAGAAGCUCUUGAUCGAAGCCCCGGUAAACGGCGGCCGUAACUAUAACGGUCCUAAGGUAGCGAAAUUCCUUGUCGGGUAAGUUCCGACCUGCACGAAUGGCGUAAUGAUGGCCAGGCUGUCUCCACCCGAGACUCAGUGAAAUUGAACUCGCUGUGAAGAUGCAGUGUACCCGCGGCAAGACGGAAAGACCCCGUGAACCUUUACUAUAGCUUGACACUGAACAUUGAGCCUUGAUGUGUAGGAUAGGUGGGAGGCUUUGAAGCGUGGACGCCAGUCUGCGUGGAGCCAACCUUGAAAUACCACCCUUUAAUGUUUGAUGUUCUAACGUUGGCCCCU
rnacentral:rRNA from 1 species